UUCUAUCUUUUUCUUCCGCCUCCUCUGUUUUUCCUUCUUUUUCUUCUUCCUCCAGCGCGCCAGUACACUACCCCUCCCAAACAGCGAUUUUUCUCUCUUCCUGCUCCGGCCGUUUGGUUCUCCUUCGGCGUUCCUCACUCUCCGGCGUUCUCUCUCUCUGCUUCUAGCUCCUCCCGUGCGCACAUCGUACGCCCUCCUCUCUCCCUCAAUCGGUCGUUUUUCUCUCUUCUACUCCGGCCGGCGAUGUCUCCCUCCCGGCGGCCUCUGUGACUCCAAUGGCGUCGAACCCAGUGAGUGCAGAGAAGUAGACCUGUCAUGAUGGUGUUUACGAGAUUUUUUGUUGGGGUGUUUGUACGUAAUGUAUUCGCGAAUCACUUAAGUUGUAUUUCUUAUGUUUAUUAAGUUGUAUUAAAACAUAUAUGUUUUAUUAAGUUGUAUCAUUUCUUAUGUUUUAUUAA